GGUCAGCUUACGUGAUGAGAAGGUCAUCUGCUACAACCUAGUUAGGAGGACUUGGACAGUAGUUAACGAACAAAUACCAUAUCACUGUGUCCCUGGAGUUCUGCUGUACAAGACAAAUGAUGCUUUUUCAAGAGGAAGUUGAGACUGUAAUUUCUCCAAUGUGUAACAGAUCUUUGCAUCUACUUAGCAGUUAAGGAGCCUGAAGUGAUUUUAAAAUACUUUGAAGUUUUCAAGAAAGCAUUUAGACUCAUUUCUUUUAUCACUGUUUCGUCUGCUCUAUGGGACACGCAUACUAUGAGAGACUCAAUGGCAAAAGAAAAUUCUGUGGAAUAAGUUUGUGAAUAAAUAAACCUGUGAAAAAAAGAACAAUCUGUUAAACAUAGACCUGAGCCAACAGAUGCAAGAGAAUGGAUUUGUGCUACUGUGGUUGUGACCACACAAUCUCUCUCAAAUGAGCCUCCCAGGGAAGUGGCCAUGAGGUGGGAAACCUUUAUCUAAGCUCUGAUGCAAGGAGAAAAAGAGACAAGUGUCACUGUACUACCUACGCCUACUCUGCUUAACAAAGGAGCCUUCCUAUAACCACAGCACCAAAAGAUAUGUCUCCAGAGAAGCUUCAAUCCUCAAAUUAUGCUUAAGUUAGAAUGCCAUUUUGAAGCUAAAAUAUAAAGAUGACUCAUUACCUGAAUCUGGUACUGGAGACCCUGCAGCAAGUAAUGGACAUCCCAGUUCAUGCCCCAUCGCAUGGGGUGUGGUUAUGAGGAACAUGAGGGAGACCCGAAGAACUAGAUCC
rnacentral:lncRNA from 1 species